CACACGACUCUCGGCAACGGAUAUCUAGGCUCUCGCAUCGAUGAAGAACGUAGCAAACUGCGAUACUUGGUGUGAAUUGCAAAAUCCCGUGAACCAUCGAGUCUUUGAACGCAAGUUGCGCCCGAAGCCAUUAGGCCGAGGGCACGUCUGCCUGGGCGUCACGC
rnacentral:rRNA from 1 species